rnacentral:rRNA from 1 species
GGAAGCGAUUCCGGCGGAGGAUGGGCAUGCGGCGCAUUAGCAUGUUGGCGGGGUAACGGCCCACCAAGGCGACGAUGCGUAGGGGUUCUGAGAGGAAGGUCCCCCACACUGGUACUGAGACACGGACCAGACUCCUACGGGAGGCAGCAGUGAGGAAUAUUGGUCAAUGGGCGGGAGCCUGAACCAGCCAAGUCGCGUGAGGGAAGACGGUCCUAUGGAUUGUAAACCUCUUUAGGCGGGGAGCAAUGCCGGGCACGCGUGCCGGAGGGAGAGUACCCGCAGAAUAAGCAUCGGCUAACUCCGUGCCAGCAGCCGCGGUAAUACGGAGGAUGCGAGCGUUAUCCGGAUUUAUUGGGUUUAAAGGGUGCGUAGGCGGAUUUUUAAGUCAGCGGUAAAAUGUCCGGGCUCAACCCGGGCCGGCCGUUGAAACUGGGGAUCUUGAGUGGGCGAGAAGUAUGCGGAAUGCGUGGUGUAGCGGUGAAAUGCAUAGAUAUCACGCAGAACUCCGAUUGCGAAGGCAGCAUACCGGCGCCCGACUGACGCUGAGGCACGAAAGCGUGGGGAUCGAACAGGAUUAGAUACCCUGGUAGUCCACGCAGUAAACGAUGAAUGCUAGUUGUCCGGUUCUUUGGGACUGGGUGACACAG